rnacentral:lncRNA from 1 species
GCCACAUGCAUCACUGCUGAAAGAGUGCUCCAAGCAGCAGGGGCAGCAAGCGCAAAGGCCCUGAGGUGGGAGUGUCUGAAAUAGGUGAGGAGGCCCCUGUGGCUGCAGCAGAGUGUGGGAGGAGGAUAUGAGGUCAAGGUGGGGGAUAUCCCGACAUCAAGAAGGUGGUGUGGACAAAUAGUGCCGGGCUCUGUGGGUCACUGGGAAAACUGGCUUUUAUUCGGAUGCAAAUACAUAGGGGACUUUCCAGCCUCAGGGUCUCUGUCUUGCUGUUCCUUUUGCCUGGAGCACUUCUCCUCUGGCUCCUCAUUUGCCUGGUGGCUGCAGAGGCGCUUUUCUAGGCUCUGCUGCUACCCUCAUCUGCCCUUCAUUGGGUUACUGUUUUUUUAAAGUUGUGUAGAGGCUGGGUGCAGUGGCUCAUGCCUGUAAUCCCAACGCUUUGGGAGACCGAGGUGGGUGGAUCACCUGAGGUCGGGAGUUCAAGACCAGCCUGGCCAACAUGGGAAAACCCCAUCUCUGCUAAAAAUACAAAAAUUAGCCGGGCGUGGUGGCAUACACCUGUAAUCCCAGCUACUUGGGUGGCUGAGGCAGGAAAUUUGCUUGAACCUGGGAAGCGGAGGUUGCAGUGAGCCAAGACGGUGUCACUGCACUCCAGCGUGGGCAAGAGAGUGAGACUCGAAUAUUUUCAAAAAAAAUUGUGUAGAGAUGGGGGUCUCACUAUGUUGCCCAGACUGGUCUCAAAUGAUCCUCCUGCCUCGGCCUCCCAAAGUGCUGGGAUUAUAGGCCUGAGCCACUGUGCCUGGCUUCAUUCCAAACAGUGAUGCUACUUUGGUUACAUAGCCACUGCUGAGCAUCCUCCCAUCAGAACGUCUGCUCCCAGCAGGCACACUCAGAACUCCUGCCUAUUCUGUUCCCCUCUGAAUCCCCAGCAGUCGGGACAGUGGGGAGCACACAUAGCAGGUGCUGCAUAGUAUAAAAAAAGAAGGGAUGGGCCGGGCGUGGUGGCUCACACCUGUAAUCCCAGCACUUUGGGAGGCUGAGGUGGGUGGAUCACCUGAGGUCAGGAGUUUGAGAACCAGCCUGGCCAACAUGGCGAAACCCCGUCUCUACUAA